GUGAGGGGGGGCGGCACAUGGUCCCGCCGCCCUUCGCUCGGCAGCGCUGGGACCCCCACCCCCGGGAAGGGGAGAGCGGGCAGCGUCGGGGCCUGGAGGCUCCUCCUGGGUACCGGGAGCCGCCCCGCCGGGCUUGGGAGCGGGCGGCCCGGGAAGGUCGGGCCGGGGCCGCGGCGGGAGGGGCGAUCCCGGGAGUCCCCGGUCGGGCGCUGGUCAGGGAUGGGUUUGCUGCCCGUGGAAAGCCCCUGACGGGUUUUUGUAGAGCCGCUGGAAACUGGGCUAAGGAGUGAAAGGGAGUCGGAGCUGGAUUCCUUCAGAGAGAGGGGAAGUUGACGCACCAGCCUAAGAAUAGCUCAGGGAGGGGAAGUAUGGACAAUAUUGUCACCAAAGGUAACCUCUGCCGUGCCUCUGUGUGUGUUUCUGUGCCCGUGUCGUGUCAGGAAAAUCAGCUUUUUCGAGUGAAAUUCGUUUGGCUUUUCAGGGGCCCACGCGUGGGGAAACCGCCGUUUCCCGGUGUAGUAGGUCCAUGUGCAAUGUUUAGGGUGGUGCCUCGUCGGCGUGUUAUCGCGUUUGUUCUCUGGUUAUAUUUCAGCUGCUGAUGAAAUUGCAGCCAGAAGCGGAGGAGUCUUUGGACCUUCCCAUGAUCAGGACCUUUGACUCGUAAAAGGCUCCUUCAAGAAGCUUCGUAGAUCAGAAGAGGGGAAGAAAGAACAGCCGGCUGUCGGAGGGAGCAGACCCCGUCCUGGACCGUGGGGAAUUGGGGGGGCAAGAGGAAGUCGCUGUAUGUGGAGUGUUUGGACAAAAUGCUUUCUCUGAAGAAAUACUUCACCGAAGGCCUCAUCCAAUUCACCAUUCUGCUGAGCUUGAUCGGUGUUCGUGUGGACGUGGACACCUACCUGAACUCGCAGCUCCCCCCUCUCCGGGAGAUCAUUCUUGGCCAGAGCUCCGCUUACACCCAGACCCAGUUUCACAACCUGCGUAACACCUUGGAUGGAUAUGGCAUCCACCCAAAAAGCGUAGACCUGGACUAUUACUUCACCGCUCGCAGGCUCCUCAACCAGGUGAGGGCCCUGGACAGGUUUCAGGUGCCCACCACCGAAGUCAACGCCUGGUUAGUGCACAGAGACCCCGAAAGCUCCGUGUCCGGUAGCCAGCCCAGCGCCGGUAUCGCCCUAGAGAACGGCAGCGGCCUGCAGGAUGGGAGCAGCCCUGACAACGGAGUGAGGGAGAGCGGAGCGGAGCAGGGUUUUGGGGAAGAACUGGAAGAUUUGGGAGCGGUGGCUGCCCCAGUGAACGGAGACCUCACCAAAGAGGACAUCGAUUUGAUUGACAUCCUGUGGAGACAGGAUAUUGAUCUCGGCGCUGGGCGAGAGAUUUUUGACUACAGCCACCGUCAGAAAGAGAGCGAAGUGGACAAAGAGCUGAGCGAUGGGAGGGAGCGUGGGGACAGCUGGAGGAGCGGAGGGAAUGAGAUCUUGGAUAGAAACCUGCUAGUUGAUGGAGAGACCGGGGAGAGUUUCCCUGCGCAGGUGCCCGGUGCGGAGGAUCAGACAGCCCUGUCCCUGGAGGAGUGCCUUAGGCUGCUGGAGGCCACCUUCCCUUUUGGGGAGAAUUCGGAGUUUCCAGCUGCGGAUGUCUCCACCCUGAGCGAAGCCGUGCCCGGCGAGAGCAGGUCUGCGGGCAUCCAAACCAGCCUGCUGUCUCCGCUCCUCACCGAGACCGAGUCGCCCUUCGAUCUGGAGCAGCAGUGGCAGGACCUCAUGUCCAUCAUGGAAAUGCAGGCUAUGGAAGUGAACACCACGACCGCUGAGACCCUGUACAACGGCACGAGCGGAGACCUGCUGACUUCUAACUACAGCCUGGCUCCGAACACUCCCAUCAAUCAGAACGUCAGCCUGCAUCAGGCCUCUCUGGGUAGCUGCUCACAGGACUUCUCCCUCUUCAGCUCGGAAAUCGAAAGCCCCUCCAUGGCUGGCAGCUCGGCCCUGCUCCAGCUGGCGCCGGACAACUCCACUGGCCUCAACACCACCUUCGGCUCCACCAACUUGAGCGGCAUCUUCUUCCCUCCGCAGUUGAACAGCACGGUCAACGAGACGGCCGGCCCCGAGCUGCCGGACCCGCUGGGCGGUCUGCUAGACGAAGCCAUGCUUGAUGAGAUCAGCUUGAUGGACUUGGCGAUCGAAGAAGGUUUCAACCCGGUGCAGGCCUCGCAGCUGGAAGAGGAGUUUGAUUCUGACUCGGGUCUUUCUCUGGAUUCCGGUCACAGUCCCGCUUCUCUGAGCAGCUCGGAAGCCUCUUCCUCGUCCUCUUCUUCCUCCUCGUCCUCUUCCUCCUCCUCGUUUUCUGAGGAAGGAGCUGUCGGCUACAGCUCAGACUCUGAAAACGUGGACUUUGAAGAAGCGGAAGGGGCGGUUGGAUACCAGCCAGAGUACAGCAAGUUCUGCCGCAUGAGCUACCAGGACCCGUCGCAGCUCCAUUACUUGCCUUACCUGGAGCACGUUGGCCACAACCACACCUACAACAUGGCGCCAGCGGCGCUGGAUCCCGAGGAGCCCAAACUGCCCAGCACCACGAAGAAGAGCAGCAAGGAGAAGCCGUCCGAAUUCCUGGAUAAGCAGAUGAGCAGGGACGAGCAUCGAGCCAGAGCCAUGAAGAUCCCCUUCACCAACGACAAGAUCAUCAACCUGCCCGUGGAGGAGUUUAACGAGCUCCUCUCCAAGUACCAGCUCAGCGAGGCGCAGCUGAGCCUGAUCCGAGACAUCAGGAGGCGAGGGAAGAACAAGAUGGCUGCCCAGAACUGCCGCAAGAGGAAACUGGACACCAUCCUCAACUUGGAACGGGACGUCGAGGACUUGCAACGGGACAAGUCCAAACUGCUCAGGGAGAAAGUGGAAUUUCUCAAAUCCAUCCGUCAGAUGAAGCAAAAGGUGCAGAACCUCUACCAGGAAGUGUUCGGCCGCCUGCGGGACGAGAACGGCCAGCCCUACUCCCCCAGCCAGUACGCCCUGCAGUAUGCCAGCGACGGCAGCGUCAUUUUGAUACCUCGCGCCGUGGCUGACCAGCAGGCCCGGCGGCAGGAACGGAAACAGAAGGACCGGAGGAAGUGAGGGACGGCGACGUGGGAGGAGUGGGACACUCGUUCAAGUGAGAACUGGAGAAGGGCUGAGCCUGGAAGUACUUAGAGGAACUUUCAUGCCUUCUUAUCCGAUAUAUCUUCUCAAAAAAACGUGACUGCUGCCGGUCAGUGUGCGGGAGACUGCGGGACCUGCAGGCUGAGCUCUGAGGGCUCCCUGUGGGGAGGGACGGGGAGGAGCGGACCCUGCACUGCCGAGCCCGGCGCCUUCCACAACCUGGAAUCCUUUGAGCGCAGGAAACGAGCUGGCAUCACUGGUGGCGAGAUUGGCAGAGGUGGAAAAACUACUGUUAGGAACUGGCUUUAAAUAAGAAAAGAGAUUUAAGCAAAUGAACUUUAAACAAGUUAUAGGAGAGACAUUUUUCUGAACUUCCAAAGUUCUGUGAUUUCAGAUUAACCAACGUCCCUUCCUAGAUCAGACCAGUGCACCCAUGGAAACACGAGUGGUGUGACUUCCAUUAACCCUUUCCAGCCCGAGGAAGCUCAGAGGGGGCUGACGGGAGAACCGUUCCUGUACGUGCGGAGGAGCUGUGACGCCUUGGGGAGGGGGCACGUAGAGCUUUAGGAUUUUGGAGGGGGAAGCGUGUGCGUGCGUGUGUGUGUAUGUGUGUGGAACUGGAGAGGGUUAACAGAACCAGUGCGAUACGCGUUUUCCCCCCCACCACACUCGGAGCAUGUCACUGCCGCCGAGCCAGCGCCGUGCCGGGACGCUGGGACGGCACACGCAGCAGCCUGCAUGCAAAGCGCUGUCUUCUCCCGCUGCCUGCCUGCGGAACCGCACGGGGAGGAAGGCAGGGAGGGGCGUCGGGACCCCGACACCCCCCCUGGGUCAGCGCCCAGCACGAGGGGAGCGGCGGGUUCCCAGCCCAGGCCGUGGGCUUGUCACGUAUAGAAAUUAGACAGCUGUUAGGAUUCCUGUUUCUUAACCGCGCAUUGAUUUUUUAAGGGCUUCGGCCCUGUUUUUUCCCUAUAGGGUCUAGAGUGCUUGUGUUGAGUAAAAGGGAGAAGCCCAAACGUUCGAAGCUGCUAAAUGUUCUCUUUGCCAUAAAGAUUCAGUGUAACCGUGUGAUCACAUUAUAGGAUUCUCUUCUGUCCCUAGGUGUUGGUCUGACUUCCUUUGUUUUCAGGAGGGGGGUGGGGGUAGUGCCUUGAUCACUGUCCGUCUCCACCACGGAGACGAUCCUAGAAGCUGUAUUUACAAUAUAGCACAGCUGGGAGUGUACUGACUUUACCAGCAACUGAAAAAAAAAAAAAAAAGCUUAAAAAACAAAACCGGCUUUUCCUAGCCAGUCCUGUGCAUGUGAUACGGGGUGAGGGCAGAGGGAAGACUCGGGGUGGUAACUCAAGGGAAGGAAACCUGGUAAUAACGCAGGAGGGAGGCCUGGAGCAGCCCAUGGUGCUGCCCGGAGGGAAGAUGUCUGGCCAUGGGCACGUUUUCCAGGCUACGGGGAAAGGAGUUGGAUCUCGGAGCGCGGUGCGGGGUAUUCGGUGCGUUCACCACGGCCCCGAGCAGCGUGAGAUGGACUCGCCGAGACCCCGGUGGGCUCUCCCAGCCCGGAGUCCUGAGAUUCAAUGGCUUUACUUACGCGUGAGACGAAGCACAAGUGGUGGAGAUGUGGGUGUGGGGAGGUUGGAAGGGAGCCCUGCGCGUAUGUUUUAAAUUAUUUUCCUUUAAGAAACUUUAUUUUAAUGAUCUGUGACCUGUCAGGGAAAGAAGAGAGAUUGUGUGAGCACAGGACAAAAAUAAAACGGCUUAUUCACUGUA